rnacentral:misc_RNA from 1 species
GAUGAAGAACGUAGCGAAAUGCGAUAAGUAAUGUGAAUUGCAGAAUUCAGUGAAUCAUCGAGUCUUUGAACGCACAUUGCGCCCCCUGGUAUUCCGGGGGGCAUGCCUGUCCGAGCGUCAUUGCUGCCCUCAAGCACGGCUUGUGUGUUGGGCCCCCGUCCCCGGUUCUCCCCGGGGACAGGCCCGAAAGGCAGCGGCGGCACCGCGUCCGAUCCUCGAGCGUAUGGGGCUUUGUCACCCGCUCUGUAGGCCCGGCCGGCGCCAGCCGACACCCCAACUUUAUUUUCUAAGGUUGACCUCGGAUCAGGUAGGGAUACCCGCUGAACUUAAGCAUAUCAAUAAGCGGAGGA